rnacentral:rRNA from 1 species
UACGUAGGGGGCUAGCGUUGUCCGGAAUCAUUGGGCGUAAAGAGCGUGUAGGCGGUCCGGUAAGUCCGCUGUGAAAGUCGGGGGCUCAACCCUCGAAUGCCGGUGGAUACUGUCGGGCUAGAGUGCGGAAGAGGCGAGUGGAAUCCUGGUGUAGCGGUGAAAUGCGCAGAUAUCAGGAGGAACACCCGUAGCGAAGGCGGCACUCUGGGCCGAUACUGACACUGAGGAGCGAAAGCGUGGGGAGCGAACAGG